CCAGCUCCAAUAGCGUAUAUUUAAGUUGUUGCAGUUAAAAAGCUCGUAGUUGGAUUUCGGGUGAGGCUUUCCGGUCCGCUUUUAGUGUGCACUGGCGGGCUUCAUCUUUCUGUCGAGGACGCGCUCCUGGCCUUUACUGGUCGGGACGCGGAGUCGGCGAUGUUACUUUGAAAAAAUUAGAGUGUUCAAAGCGGGCUUACGCUUGAAUAUAUUAGCAUGGAAUAACACGAUAGGACUCCUGUUCUAUUUUGUUGGUCUUCGGGACGGGAGUAAUGAUUAAGAGGAACAGUUGGGGGCAUUCGUAUUUCAUUGUCAGAGGUGAAAUUCUUGGAUUUAUGAAAGACGAACUUCUGCGAAAGCAUUUGCCAAGGAUGUUUUCA
rnacentral:rRNA from 1 species